AUUCCAGCUCCAAUAGCGUAUAUUAAAGUUGUUGCAGUUAAAAAGCUCGUAGUUGGAUUUGUGGUGUACUUCGGCGGCCCGUCACUAUGUGAUGGAGCUUGCUGAAGUCGCCAUCCUUGGGUGGAUCCUGUGUAGCAUUAAGUUGUCGUGCAGGGGAUGCCCAUCGUUUACUGUGAAAAAAUUAGAGUGUUCAAAGCAGGCUUAUGCCGUUGAAUAUAUUAGCAUGGAAUAAUAAGAUAGGACCUUGGUACUAUUUUGUUGGUUUGCGCACCAAGGUAAUGAUUAAUAGGGACAGUUGGGGGUAUUCGUAUUUCAUUGUCAGAGGUGAAAUUCUUGGAUUUUUGAAAGACGAACUACUGCGAAAGCAUUUACCAAGGAUGUUUUCAUCA
rnacentral:rRNA from 1 species